GUAGCGAGGUGAAUUUGGGCUUUCAGAGCGACGAGCUGGGCGUGCAGAAGCGCCUGCGCACCGAGGUGAUCCAGCUCGAGGACACGCUGGCCCAGGUGCGCAAGGAGUACGAGAUGCUGCGCAUCGAGUUCGAGCAGAACCUGGCGGCCAACGAGCAGGCGGGCCCCAUUAACCGCGAGAUGCGGCACCUGAUCAGCUCGCUGCAGAACCACAACCACCAGCUCAAGGGCGACGUGCAGCGCUACAAGCGCAAGCUGCGCGAGGUGCAGGCCGAGAUCAACAAGCUCCGCCUCCAGGCCAGCGGCGCCCCUCCCCCACCAAGCCCCGCC